UGGUAUUGAUUGGUGCUUGCAUCAUGAUUUACAUUUGAGUGAGUGGCGAACUGGUGAGUAACACGUGGGAAACCUGCCCAGAAGCGGGGGAUAACACCUGGAAACAGAUGCUAAUACCGCAUAACAACUUGGACCGCAUGGUCCGAGUUUGAAAGAUGGCUUCGGCUAUCACUUUUGGAUGGUCCCGCGGCGUAUUAGCUAGAUGGUGGGGUAACGGCUCACCAUGGCAAUGAUACGUAGCCGACCUGAGAGGGUAAUCGGCCACAUUGGGACUGAGACACGGCCCAAACUCCUACGGGAGGCAGCAGUAGGGAAUCUUCCACAAUGGACGAAAGUCUGAUGGAGCAACGCCGCGUGAGUGAAGAAGGGUUUCGGCUCGUAAAACUCUGUUGUUAAAGAAGAACAUAUCUGAGAGUAACUGUUCAGGUAUUGACGGUAUUUAACCAGAAAGCCACGGCUAACUACGUGCCAGCAGCCGCGGUAAUACGUAGGUGGCAAGCGUUGUCCGGAUUUAUUGGGCGUAAAGCGAGCGCAGGCGGUUUUUUAAGUCUGAUGUGAAAGCCUUCGGCUCAACCGAAGAAGUGCAUCGGAAACUGGGAAACUUGAGUGCAGAAGAGGACAGUGGAACUCCAUGUGUAGCGGUGAAAUGCGUAGAUAUAUGGAAGAACACCAGUGGCGAAGGCGGCUGUCUGGUCUGUAACUGACGCUGAGGCUCGAAAGUAUGGGUAGCAAACAGGAUUAGAUACCCUGGUAGUCCAUACCGUAAACGAUGAAUGCUAAGUGUUGGAGGGUUUCCGCCCUUCAGUGCUGCAGCUAACGCAUUAAGCAUUCCGCCUGGGGAGUACGGCCGCAAGGCUGAAACUCAAAGGAAUUGACGGGGGCCCGCACAAGCGGUGGAGCAUGUGGUUUAAUUCGAAGCUACGCGAAGAACCUUACCAGGUCUUGACAUACUAUGCAAAUCUAAGAGAUUAGACGUUCCCUUCGGGGACAUGGAUACAGGUGGUGCAUGGUUGUCGUCAGCUCGUGUCGUGAGAUGUUGGGUUAAGUCCCGCAACGAGCGCAACCCUUAUUAUCAGUUGCCAGCAUUAAGUUGGGCACUCUGGUGAGACUGCCGGUGACAAACCGGAGGAAGGUGGGGAUGACGUCAAAUCAUCAUGCCCCUUAUGACCUGGGCUACACACGUGCUACAAUGGAUGGUACAACGAGUUGCGAACUCGCGAGAGUAAGCUAAUCUCUUAAAGCCAUUCUCAGUUCGGAUUGUAGGCUGCAACUCGCCUACAUGAAGUCGGAAUCGCUAGUAAUCGCGGAUCAGCAUGCCGCGGUGAAUACGUUCCCGGGCCUUGUACACACCGCCCGUCACACCAUGAGAGUUUGUAACACCCAAAGUCGGUGGGGUAACCUUUUAGGAACCAGCCGCCUA
rnacentral:rRNA from 2 species